rnacentral:rRNA from 1 species
GAUGAACGCUGGCGGCGUGCCUAAUACAUGCAAGUCGAGCGAACGGACGAGAAGCUUGCUUCUCUGAUGUUAGCGGCGGACGGGUGAGUAACACGUGGAUAACCUACCUAUAAGACUGGGAUAACUUCGGGAAACCGGAGCUAAUACCGGAUGAUAUUUUGAACCGCAUGGUUCAAAAGUGAAAGACGGUCUUGCUGUCACUUAUAGAUGGAUCCGCGCUGCAUUAGCUAGUUGGUAAGGUAACGGCUUACCAAGGCAACGAUGCAUAGCCGACCUGAGAGGGUGGUCGGCCACACUGGAACUGAGACACGGUCCACACUCCUACGGGAGGCAGCAGUAGGGAAUCUUCCGCAAUGGGCGAAAGCCUGACGGAGCAACGCCGCGUGAGUGAUGAAGGUCUUCGGAUCGUAAAACUCUGUUAUUAGGGAAGAACAUAUGUGUAAGUAACUGUGCACAUCUUGACGGUACCUAAUCAGAAAGCUACGGCUAACUACGUG